GAGCCCAGAGCUGAGGGUCGUCACGGGCUCACGGGACAGAGCCCCGAGUCCCCAAUUGCUCCAGUUUCCUGCUCCCCGGCGCUGACGCCGCCGGCUCUCCGCUCACUCAGGUGGUCUCUUCAGCGUUCCAUCGGAUCGCUGCAGUCUCCCCGCCGGUCGUUUCCCUAUCUCCAUCGACGGCCAGCCCUCCCUGUCCGGCGGCUCGUGGACUUUUGGCUCUGAUUUCCGGUGGAUCCUCCUCGUCGGCGCCUCCACCCGAGGAUGCCGUUGUACUGAUUCAGAGUUCCAAUGGACAACCUUGAGAACACGUCAGAGGACAAAGGCUUAAAUUUUCUGUGCAAUCUAUCUGACGUAGAGGUCGUACAUAGCAUGACACAGCUCUUACUUCAUGCAUUGGCCACAGCUUCAGUGGACAGCACCACUGGUGAUAUGUUCAAGAGCCCAGCAUCUGUAGCUAUUGGCAUGAAGACCGAACUAUCAGGGUACAUGAGUCAGAGAUCUGAAACACUUGUUCGCCAAUCUAUGGAUGGAGGCGAGGAUCAUUCAGAUCAAUUAACAAAAGCAUCCUCCAGGCCGACGGAGUUCCUGUCAGACUUGAUCGAUGAGUUUGUGACCUCAAAAAGGGGCAUGCUGAGCCAUGUCUCUGGGCUUUUUUCUAGCGAAAGCCGCCUGAACAAAAUUAAAGACUUCAUGCAAAAGUUAGAGACGGAUAACUCGUGGGCCCAGGAUGAAAGGAAGGCGACUGCAUGGGCUAUUCUGGAGAACAUAGACAGUAAAGGCAUUUUCCAUUGCCCCGAGAGAUUUGACAUGCCAGAUAAGCUAGCUGAGCACACAAGUCAAUGCAAAUUUAGGAUACUGAACUGCACAAAUGAUGGAUGUGUAGCUUCUUUCUGUGCUAUUCAUACCGAAAAGCAUGACGCUGUCUGCCCAUUCAAGCUCCUACCAUGCGAGCAGCUGUGUGAACAACAUGUUAUGCGGUCUGAGAUGGACAAACAUUGUGGAACAGUUUGCCCUAUGAAGCUUACCAACUGCCCGUUUUUUAGAAUUGGCUGUGAAACAGCCUUUCCACAGUGUUCUCUUGAUAACCAUUGUUCGCGGUUUCUACAAACCCAUUUGAUGUAUGUCGUCAAGGUGAUUACAAGACAGGGUGAUUGUGUUAAUGAUAUGGAUCAACGGCUGCAACUCCUUGAGAAGGUGCAAUCAUUGAACGAACUCGCUGGGGCUUUAGAUGUCAAGGCCCUCACUCUGAUUACAAAGGAACAAGAAUCAAAGAUAAAUAAACUCGAACGGGAUCUCAAAGCCCAAGAAACAAGGAUGAAGAAACUUGAGAAUGAUCUUAGGUCACGGAAAUAAUGAUUGCUGUCAUGUGCUCAUCAUUGCAGCCUUACUGGAAACCAGGAGUAUCUUUUUUCCUUCUCAACAGUCAACACUUUGUCGGAAGCAUUUUGUGUGCAAGGGUGGACCUUUGUAGGUCGUUUUAACAGCAAGUUUUCAUGGAGGACAUGUUGCAACAGUAUCAUCAUUGGCUUGGCUCUUCGACGAAGCUUUCAGGUUACAGCGCAAGCAGCCUCCAAAUUCUGCAAAUAUGUCCUGUAUGUAUGCGUACACAGAAAUAUGCAGGUGGUUUUCUUGUGCAGUUCGUUAUGCUGAAGAUGUCACCACAAUAUCUUCCCUAUUUGGCCCAUUUGACUCAGCUUUGACGGUAUAAUCACUGGCAGCCUCCAAAAUCUUGCAAACUUCUCUCCUGUACUGCACCAGAAGGUCCAGAUCAUGUUAGGAAGACAUUGUCAAAUGCUGUUUGUGGAACAUCAAAGUACAGUUUCCAUUUACCUAUAUCGUUUCUAUUGUUUACAUUAAUUGAGGGUUGUGUGGUGCAGAUCAACUUGGAGUCAUUUUAUCAUCUUCUUGUCAUAUUCCUAAUCAGUGAUGUCUAAGAACCAAGAGAUGUGAAUUAUCAGUACUCCAUCUUGCCAGCAUGGAGACCUUAAAAUGAACAAGAUGGUUUCUUUUGUCGUUUGAGAAAGAAGCAUGCUGCAAUUCAGUUACCGCAGUGUCUGGAGGACACAAAGGACUGUGGCAUAGUGACCUGAAAGUUACUUCACGAACAUUUCCACCGUACUCAUCUGAGACAUGCCACUUACUCAGCUGGAGAAAUUUAGAACAUUUGACUGUUACGUCGUCUAAUGCUAGCAGCAACCAACUUGGUAAAAAAAAUUGAGACCAUGAAAAGGAUAUGCCAAUAGCGCAAUUGACAAAAUACACCUUUAAAUCUGUAUCUUUUCGUGUAUUUCGGUACUGCUGGAAAAACAUUGCAUCGUCACCUAGUAUCACAGUGAAAAAAUUCUCAGGUGUACCAGGGAAGGUAUUCUGAAAAAUCAUACCAUGUUGAAAAUUAGGGAAACGAAAAGUAAAUAUGCAUAUUCAAAAAUAGAAAAUUAACUGGGAUGCUCACACUGGUUAUGUCUACAAGAACAUGUUCAUUGAUGAAAGGUUGAAAUGUGAUAGUCAGUCCAAUUCUUCUGUCUUCUGUCUUUAUGUUGUCUGUUCUGCUGCUAAUAACAUUCAUACUCUCUCCUUUAAGAAGCAAAUGUGAACUCACCUGCUUGUACAAGUACAGGUUGUCAGGUGGUUUCCCCAGAAGCAAAUGAAAAGACCAAACAAGAUUACUUUCUGAAUACCUGCUUUUCGGCUUCCAAUGUUGCUCGGUAACUCUGCAGCGCCGUCUCUAGAGCUCGAAAUGUACGGUUUCUGUUCCAGAAGGAUGUGAACUUGUACCUUACGCUUCCUGAACCAUUAAGGCAAGGAUGAUCAAUAGAAAAAUCUAUAAAUAGUUUUGCAACAUGGAAGAUGAAAACAACAACAGCAGAUCUAUAUUUCUAGGACUCAUUUUGCUGUUGGUGCCUUCGAUAGUAAAGAUUUACCAGGAGUAUCAAAUUGGAAA